rnacentral:rRNA from 1 species
CGCGUAGGAAUCUACCCAGUAGCGGGGGAUAGCUCGGGGAAACCCGAAUUAAUACCGCAUACGCCCUACGGGGGAAAGGCCGGGCUCUUCGGACCGGUCACUAUUGGCAGAGCCUGCGUUGGAUUAGCUUGUUGGUGGGGUAAAGGCUCACCAAGGCGACGAUCCAUAGCUGGUCUGAGAGGAUGAUCAGCCACACUGGGACUGAGACACGGCCCAGACUCCUACGGGAGGCAGCAGUGGGGAAUAUUGGACAAUGGGCGCAAGCCUGAUCCAGCCAUGCCGCGUGUGUGAAGAAGGCUU